rnacentral:lncRNA from 1 species
UAUGAUGUUCCAUCACAAAAGGUUCUUAUGAUGCAACCUUCACAGAGAAAGUACCUGAGAGCCUUUUGUGCUUCUGUGGAUUUACUUGCAAUGGAUCUCUUAUGCAAAAUACCUUUCCCUUCUCUGCCAGCUCCUCCAGGCAAUCAGGAAGAUACAGGCUUUUACUCAACAUGCUAACCAUGGCACGACCUGAUUUCUGAUGGCUAUCAACAUAACUUCGUUCCCUUUUGCUUUUCUACUUGGUCCUCUUCACCAGCUGACCUCAUCAAUUUAUCCAACAACACAUGCUGAGGACCUACUAAGCACGGGGUCUGUGGACAUAAAAUGGAAUUGGACAUGAAAUACACCCUGCAGAGCAGAUGGACACAUAAGCAACAUGGCAAUGAGAAGUGACAAGCACACUACUACAACCCAGCUGGCACAGAUGGUGGAGAUUUGAUAGGCUUGCUUCCACCAUCUUAGCAAGAACAACCUUGUCUUCCAAUUAACCUUUCAAAGGCAACAGUGAUGAACAUCUUCCUGUGGAAUAGCAACCUCAGCCUGGCCUUUCCCUUGAUGAUGCAGUAGGGGACCCUCAUCUUUCAACACAGGGAAGGCAGGAAAACCAUCUGCCCAAUGGGGUUUAUGUCAUGGGCAAUCACCAACAGCUGGGCCUUCUUUUCUCUACCCAGGUAAUGUCUAUAUU